GCCUCCGUGGCGAAAUUGGCAAACGCGCACGGUUUAGAGCCGUGUGGGGAAACCCUUACAGGUUCAACUCCUGUCGGAGGCA
rnacentral:tRNA from 1 species